GCCUGACCUGAUUAUCCCAUGUCUACCCCAGUGCUUGGCACAGAAGUUCAGCAGAGCGAACAGACCUGGGCCCCUCUGUGGCUGAGGGGACAGAUGAGCCCAUAGCAGAUGGAGAGACUACGAGCCUCAUGUGGGUCCGGAACUGUAACCGAC